UACGGGGGGAGCAAGCGUUGUUCAGAUUUACUGGGCGUAAAGGGCGCGUAGGCGGCCACCGCAAGUCAGUUGUGAAAGCUCUGGGCUUAACCCAGAAAGGUCAGCUGAUACUGCGGGGCUAGAGUGCAGAAGGGGCAACUGGAAUUCUCGGUGUAGCGGUGAAAUGCGUAGAUAUCGAGAGGAACACCUGCGGCGAAGGCGGGUUGCUGGGCUGACACUGACGCUGACAGCGCGAAAGCUAGGGGAGCGAACGGG
rnacentral:rRNA from 1 species